rnacentral:lncRNA from 1 species
CUGGGGUGGAUAUUUGUUGCUUCCACCAGAAAAAACGAACUACUGGUUGUACGAAGGCGAGGGAGAACUACGUGGGUGACAUCUUGUUUUGCAUCAUCGGUCCAUCAUAUCGAUCUUCUCUUUCGUUUUGGGGGCUGGAGUGUUUUUGUUUUUGUUUAAUGAGUUUGUCCGGAAAUGUUUUGUAAUAUGUGUGGUGUGCUGUCAGUGCCCAGGCACAGUGUGAUGCUAGCUUUCAAAACAUAUAUUUUUUGGUUGAUAUAAUCAUGCGCGUGCGUGUCAUGUCACGGUCCUUAGGUGCUUGGAAUACACGGGCUCUUUAUCUCUCUCUCUCUCUCUACAUUUUAUUUCUUUUUCAUUAUCUUCCUUAUCACAAAGAAUUUCAUUUUGCAGGAAUCAAUUCUGGAAAAGGAUUAGCAGUUAUAACCAGCUAGUGAAACCAGUUUUCCAUGUAGCAUGUAUUUUCAGUUUUCAAUCGAUACAAUAAUGUA